CUCAGAGUGAAUGCUAGCGGCGUGCUUAAGGUAUGCAAGUUGAACGGUCCGCCUUGUGCGGAUAGUGGCGAACGGCUGAGUAACACGUAGAAAUCUACCUUUAUCUCGGGCAUAACUCACCGAAAGGUGAGCUAAUUCCCGAUAGUCCAUGUAUCUUUUUGGUACAUGGUAAAGAUUUAUCGGAUAGAGAUGAGUCUGCGGCCUAUCAGGUAGUUGGUGUGGUAAAUGCUCACCAAGCCUAUGACGGGUAGCUGGUGUUAGCGCAUGUCCAGCCAGAAAGGCACUGAGACACGGGCCUUACUCCUACGGGAGGCAGCAAUCGGGAAUCUUGCACAAUGGACGAAAGUCUGAUGCAGCGACGCCGCGUGAGGGAUGAAUGCCUUCGGGUUGUAAACCUCGUUAUAAGCACCGGCUAACUACGUGCCAGCAGCAGCGGUCAUACGUAGGGUGCAAGCAUUACUCGGUGUUACUGGGCGUAAAGAGUUCUGUAGGCGGAAUUGCAAGUCAGAGGUUAAAUACUUCGGCUCAACUGAAGUGAGGCUUUUGAUACUGCAUUUCUAGAGGCAACUAGGGGGUAGCGGAACGUAUGGUGUAGCAGUGAAAUGCGUUGAUAUCAUACGGAACACCAAGGGGGAAGCCAGCUACCUGGGGUUGAUCUGACGCUGAGAGACGAAAGCGUGGGGAGCAAAACGGAUUAGAUACCCGUGUAGUCCACGCUGUAAACUAUGCCUGCUAGAUGCUCCAUUUUUGGGGUGUCAAAGUUAACGCGUUAAGCAGGCCGCCUGGGGAGUACAAUCGCAAGGUUAAAACUCAAACGGAAUUGGCGGGGACCCGCACAAGCGGUGGAGCAUGCUCUUUAAUUGGCUGAUAACCCAAGAACCUUACCAGGACUUGACAUUCUUCGAGUAGCGAUCCGAAAGGUGAGCGACCCGUAUCCAGUCGGGAAGAUGAACAGGUGUUGCAUGGCUGUCGUCAGCUCGUACCGUGAGGCGUACCCUUAAGUGGGUCAACGAGCGCAACCCCUACUGUUAGUUGUAUCACUCUAACGGAACUGCCUCGGCAACGGGGAGGAAGGUGGGGACGACGUCAAGUCGGUAUUGCCCUUACGUCCUGGGCAAGAAGCAUGCUACAAUGGCCGGUACAGCGAGCAGCGAUAUCGCGAGAUGGAGCUAAUCUCUUAAAACCGGUCUCAGUUCGGAUUGAAGUCUGCAAUUCGACUUCAUGAAGUUGGAAUCGCUAGUAAUCGCAGGUCAGCUAUACUGCGGUGAAUACGUUCUCGGGUCUUGCACACACUGCCCGUCACGCAGCAAAGCUGGGGCCACCCGAAGUCUUCAUCCUUAGGUAUGAGGCCCACGGUGGAAUCAGUGAUGAAGGUGAAGU
rnacentral:rRNA from 1 species